ACGCUCCCGGCGUGCCUAAUACAUGCAAGUCGAACGCACAGCGAAAGGUGCUUGCACCUUUCAAGUGAGUGGCGAACGGGUGAGUAACACGUGGAUAACCUACCUCAAGGUUGGGGAUAACAUUUGGAAACAGAUGCUAAUACCGAAUGAGACUUCUUGUUGCAUGACAGGAAGUUAAAAGGCGCUACGGCGUCGCCUAGAGAUGGAUCCGCGGUGCAUUAGUUAGUUGGUGGGGUAAAGGCCUACCAAGACAAUGAUGCAUAGCCGAGUUGAGAGACUGAUCGGCCACAUUGGGACUGAGACACGGCCCAAACUCCUACGGGAGGCUGCAGUAGGGAAUCUUCCACAAUGGGCGAAAGCCUGAUGGAGCAACGCCGCGUGUGUGAUGAAGGCUUUCGGGUCGUAAAGCACUGUUGUAUGGGAAGAACAGCUAGAGUAGGGAAUGACUUUAGUUUGACGGUACCAUACCAGAAAGGGACGGCUAAAUACGUGCCAGCAGCCGCGGUAAUACGUAUGUCCCAAGCGUUAUCCGGAUUUAUUGGGCGUAAAGCGAGCGCAGACGGUUGAUUAAGUCUGAUGUGAAAGCCCGGAGCUCAACUUCGGAAAGGCAUUGGAAACUGGUCAACUUGAGUGCA
rnacentral:rRNA from 1 species